CAAGGAUUUCAGCAGGUGGUUCAAGAGGCGCGCCCCCAGGGUCUUGUCCAUCCACUCGCAGGUGCUUCACUGUCAUUUCCAGGAUGUCUGCUUUUUCCAGUUUAGACUGCUGAUAAGGAAAGAGCGCAGCAGUUGGAUGCAAGGAAGAGUUUGCMCGGUUUCUCUAAAGAUCAGAUGUAUUUAGAAGAGUGUCCUUUAUUACAGGGAUGAGCAUUUCUUGUUCCUGUGGAGGARCCAAAAGGUGUAGGAAGUCCUGCUAGCUCUUGGAGCACAACCACUUGUGGAUAGGAAAACCAUGGCCCUGACAAGAUGAAGAGCACCCAGGAGCUGUGAGAAGGUGGGUGAUGCUCCAUGGGCUGGUCUGGCAAGAAGAAAAUCAGAGUUUGCACUCAUUUUGGCUUCUUCGCAAUGAGCCCAUGUAAAAAUGAUAAUAAACUCCCAC